rnacentral:rRNA from 1 species
GAUGAACGCUGGCGGCGUGCCUAAUACAUGCAAGUCGAGCGAACAGACGAGGAGCUUGCUCCUCUGACGUUAGCGGCGGACGGGUGAGAAACACGUGGAUAACCUACCUAUAAGACUGGGAAAACUUCGGGAAACCGGCGCUAAUACCGGAUAAUAUAUUGAACCGCAUGGUUCAAUGGUGAAAGACGGUUUUGCGGUCACUUAUAGAUGGAUCCGCGCCGCAUUAGCUAGUUGGUAAGGUAACGGCUUACCAAGGCAACGAUGCGUAGCCGACCUGAGAGGGUGAUCGGCCACACUGGAACUGAGACACGGUCCAGACUCCUACGGGAGGCAGCAGUAGGGAAUCUUCCGCAAUGGGCGAAAGCCUGACGGAGCAACGCCGCGUGAGUUAUGAAGGUCUUCGGAUCGUAAAACUCUGUUAUUAGGGAAGAACAAAUGUGUAAGUAACUAUGCACGUCUUGACGGUACCUAAUCAGAAAGCCACGGCUAACUACGUG